AACGAACGCUGGCGGCAGGCUUAACACAUGCAAGUCGAACGCCCCGCAAGGGGAGUGGCAGACGGGUGAGUAACGCGUGGGAAUCUACCCAUCCCUACGGAACAACUCCGGGAAACUGGAGCUAAUACCGUAUACGCCCUUAGGGGGAAAGAUUUAUCGGGGAUGGAUGAGCCCGCGUUGGAUUAGCUAGUUGGUGGGGUAAAGGCCUACCAAGGCGACGAUCCAUAGCUGGUCUGAGAGGAUGAUCAGCCACAUUGGGACUGAGACACGGCCCAAACUCCUACGGGAGGCAGCAGUGGGGAAUAUUGGACAAUGGGCGCAAGCCUGAUCCAGCCAUGCCGCGUGAGUGAUGAAGGCCUUAGGGUUGUAAAGCUCUUUCACCGAUGAAGAUAAUGACGGUAGUCGGAGAAGAAGCCCCGGCUAACUUCGUGCCAGCAGCCGCCGUAAGAC
rnacentral:rRNA from 1 species